GGUAAGAGCUUACCAAGGCGACGAUGCGUAGCCGACCUGAGAGGGUGAUCGGCCACACUGGGACUGAGACACGGCCCAGACUCCUACGGGAGGCAGCAGUAGGGAAUCAUCCGCAAUGGACGAAAGUCUGACGGUGCAACGCCGCGUGAGUGAUGAAGGUUUUCGGAUCGUAAAACUCUGUUGUCAGGGAAGAACACGUGCUGUUCGAACAGGACAGCAUCUUGACGGUACCUGACCAGAAAGCCCCGGCUAACUACGUGCCAGCAGCCGCGGUAAUACGUAGGGGGCAAGCGUUGUCCGGAAUUAUUGGGCGUAAAGCGCGCGCAGGCGGUCUUUUAAGUCUGAUGUGAAAUCCCGCGGCUCAACCGCGGGCGGUCAUUGGAAACUGGAGGACUUGAGUGCAGAAGAGGAGAGUGGAAUUCCACGUGUAGCGGUGAAAUGCGUAGAGAUGUGGAGGAACACCAGUGGCGAAGGCGACUCUCUGGUCUGUAACUGACGCUGAGGUGCGAAAGCAUGGGUAGCGAACAGGAUUAGAUACCCUGGUAGUCCAUGCCGUAAACGAUGAGUGCUAGGUGUUAGGGGGUUUCCACCCCUUAGUGCUGAAGUUAACGCAAUAAGCACUCCGCCUGGGGAGUACGGCCGCAAGGCUGAAACUCAAAAGAAUUGACGGGGGCCCGCACAAGCGGUGGAGCAUGUGGUUUAAUUCGAAGCAACGCGAAGAACCUUACCAGGUCUUGACAUCCUCUGACAGCGGUAGAGAUACCGUGUUCCCUUCGGGGACAGAGUGACAGGUGGUGCAUGGUUGUCGUCAGCUCGUGUCGUGAGAUGUUGGGUUAAGUCCCGUAACGAGCGCAACCCUUGAUCUUAGUUGCCAGCAUUCAGUUGGGCACUCUAAGGUGACUGCCGGUGACAAACCGGAGGAAGGCGGGGAUGACGUCAAAUCAUCAUGCCCCUUAUGACCUGGGCUACACACGUGCUACAAUGGAUGGAACAAAGGGCAGCGAAGCCGUGAGGUGUAGC
rnacentral:rRNA from 1 species